CGAUAGAAAGUCAAGAACGUUAAAAAUGACAAAAGAGAGUGAGAGAGAAUCGAUCAGCGAUCAUCGGCCAUGCUUUUUUGCAUUUCCCACGAGUCAGUAUCGAGCAGCACUGGGAUGAUUCCAACGAACAGCUAAGAGAAAGCCCUCGAAUACAUUCGAACGUUCGGAAAGUUGUCAAUCGUCUCCUGCUUUCAAAGGGUAGAUCGAAUCAAAGUGGCAUUCGGCCAACUCUCCUGCGCUCGAACGCACAUUAUUAAACCGUCGCCAGUUUAUCGCGAUCGCUGUCUCGACGCUCAUUAUCGAGCGACACGAAAACGCCAUUGUUUCGUUGUACAGUCAAAGAAAGAAAGAGAGAGAGAGAGAGAGAGAGAGAGAGAGAGAGAGAAAGAGAGAGAGAGAGAGAGAGAGAGAAAGGGAAACAGACAAAAGAGAGGGGAACACGAAACAAUAGAAUGGAAGUUUAAAGGAGAAAGAUCAAAAAACGUUUUUACUCACCAGUUUUCCUUAGGACGCGCAAAUCAUUUCAAUCCUCCUUCAGCAGGAUGCUACGAUGCUCUAUAAUCCAAUAUGGCAGCCUAUGCACACAUGUCAAAACAAAUCACUGAACGACGCAACGUUUGUGGGGCGGUCGUGACGAGACCCGUAUUUCUUCCUUCUUGCGAAGCUUCUUUCUAUCUCUCUCCCUUCGCUCUGUACAUAUAUAUAUAUAUAUAUAUAUGUAUGUGUAGAGGGAAAGGAAGGAAGGGAGAGAGGAACGGGGAGAGAGAGAGAGAGAGAGAGAGAGAGAAAGGAACAGAAAGUGAGAAAAAGAAGAACGAGGAAUCGUCGCGAAGAUCCUUCCACAAGGAAAUGAGACACAAAAGAGGAUAACCGUACUCGUACACUUUUCUAUUUCUUCUUUGUUCGAUCGCGUCGAAAUUCGUGAUGGUAAAUAAAGAGAGGUAUGUGUAGGAAAAGAGAGGAAAAAAGGGCAGGUACAGACAGAUAAAACGAUACACACGCGGCAAGCAUCCGACGUAGACUAGUGGCUGCGCGCAACGGACGCAGGAAGCGGGGUGUAGAGGAGCUGGGCCAUUACGAGAUGUAGGGGGGGAGUUCGUUGGUAGUGGCGGUGGUUGAGGGCUAUGGUUUGGUGGGGCGCGCGGCGCGUUCGCCCGAGCAGUGGGAAUACGUUGGUUGACAGUGAUGCUCAACCACUACUUUUGGUUCCUUUUCUUUUUCCUUUUUUAUUAGAUCUUUUAAUCGAUAGAUUAAACUUCUUGUCCUAAUUAAUUGAUUAAGAACUUAAGCAGUCGCAGAUAAAGGAGCAUAAGAAUAUAUAUUCUUAUUUAUAUAAGUACAUAUGACAAAAAAAAUGCUAAACUUGAAUUGCAUAUUAUACGUGUAUGUGUAUGUUUGAAAAGAAAUAAGACCAUACCUUCCACAUUAUACAAAGUUCCCAUUUGAAUUGCAAAUAUUGAUCUGAGUAUCUAGAAAAUAAAAUUUGUUGUAUGCGCGGUUAAAUGGAAAAUUAUAGAGUAUAACGAUAGUGAAAAGAUUAUCGGCGGUGCACCGAGGAUCGCAGGAUUCGCAGCGAAUCGAUUCGCCUCUCAAGGAUUACGGGCGCGGUACGCAUGCCGGAUACCCGUGCGUACCUCUAGUUGCUAUCCUCCGAGCAACCACGCAUUGGUCUGGCGAAGCACCGUGACCCACAUUUCCAUGUCGACUACAAUUCAAGUUAAAGUUUUGUUCUAUCUGAGGGUGAACUAUUUCUUCGAUCUUUCAAACCAUAGUUGAUUCAGUGAAGUCUCUACUAUUCUCAGAAAAAAGGAGCCUAUAGAGAAAAAAACGAAGACUGAAAGUAGACGAAAUGGAGCACAUGAAGUCAAUGGAAAAAUGUAAUCCGUAUAAAAACUGGUUGGCGAACUACCAUUUAGAGAAAGCCAUGAGAAAGAAGACGAAUACACCGUAUAGAGCGAAGAUCAUCCAUGUAUACAUCCCAUAGGUACAUACAUAUCUGUACUUAUAUAAGCAUCUAUAUACCAAAUUGCAUGCCAAAUUGCGUGACUUGGUCUCAUUGUCCGACAAUUUAGAUCAUCAGGUACAAAGAAGACGCCUUUUACUAAUAAUUCGAUGUUAUAUACGUAUUUAAACGAAUCGACGAACAUCAUAACUUUUUCUUAUGUGCAUUUACAAUCGAUAUGAAUUAAAUUUAAAAUGACAAUCUAAAAGAACAAGCGAAAAUUUGUUGGGGUAAUAACUCGAUUACAGGAAAUCGAUCUCGCUUUUUAUUUUCAUUAUUACUUUUUUUACCAACUUUAUAUUUGAAGUAGCUUAAAAAAGGAUGUUAUCGAGUUGUAGAAAAGGAGAGAAAAGGGGAUAAAAAUUUUAUAAAAAAACUUCCCAGUCUUUAUUUUUUAAGUGGUAAAACAUUUAACAAGCGAAGGAAAUCAGUCAAAUUCCCAUAGCAAAAAAGCAAAAUAAUAAAAAAAAGGGAGAAAAAGCUAAAUAAGAGAAAUUUCGUAAUAUUUUUUUCUGUUCUUCAUUUCUCUUCCCCCUCACUCUCUCUCUCUCUUUCUCUUUCUCUUUCUUUUACAGUUUUUCAAUUUGCUGAUAAAGAAUUUAUUUAACUUGUUGCAAGUUUCUAUAUGGAUUAUACCCAUUAACAUAGUCGAUGUGAAAAAGAAAAAGAAAGAGGGUAAAUAAAAAAAAGAGUCAGUAAGGACAAUGGAUAUCUCUCGUUAAGAGAAAAAGAAAGGAAAGAUUUUGAAUCGUAUAAGGCUUAGGCGCAUACAUCUAAAGAUUUUUCUCCUUUAUCAAGGCAUGAUUUUAAUUUUGGUAUACUCGAGCGGCUUCGAUUUCUUUAGCACGAUCCUUUCAAAGGCGAAGAAGCAACGUCGCUUUAGAAUAAUCAUAGCUCGGUGCAUACACGUAUCGAGCUUUAAUCACAACUUGUUUUAACUCGGCCCUCGUCUCUUCUUCGUUACUUGGCUACUCGAAUCUACUCGUCGAAGACAUAUACGUGACUUUAAUUUUGAUACGGGGAGAAAUUCCCAUGGUACGAACACGCUCCUGCGGUUUAAUUUCACCAACGCAGCAGGCUGCAUCUGCUACCAACUAUACAGGUCUCUCUCGUAUUCGCUCUGCACUAUCUUUUCAUCCCUUCGUUAGUACCUCUUUCUCUCUCUUUUUUUCUUUCUCUCAAACGCACCAAUCUAGUCUUUCGAUGCAGAGAGAUGAGAUCGAAAACAAGAUCAUCCAAAGUCUUACUAUGUUUUCUUCUUUUUAGCAUAUCAAUCUUGCGUAUGAGCGAACACUAGAGGAAAAUCAGUUUCUCGAUAAAAAGUACAAUUCGAGAAUCGUUCUUGCAUGUACACGCGCCUACGGCCUGACAUCUUUGCCUCUCUCUCUGUCUCUUUCUUUUACGCAUAGUCCCAUCCACUUCUUCUUCCCUUUUCCCUCCUCUUUCUCCUUCAUAGACGAACAAUCCUCUAUAGGGCGGCAGCGCUAGACAAUAACUCUUUUGUCUAUGGCCGAAGGCACGUGGCGCAGGAAAAUUACUACGCUGCCAGUUUAUUGUAAACAUUUGUCCCCGCAAAUAGACUCAGGAGGGCGAGAUCAUCUCUCGAUUUGUAUCUUUCUCUCUCUCUCUCUCCCUCUCUCUCAACGCCUCCUUGGAAUAUAGCGAAAGAGAAGGAGAAAGAAGGCAAAGCCACCACUCUCGUUGUUUUCUUUGUUUUUUCGAGAAAAAUCACUGAUAAUACGAGACCGUCUGAAAGACUCCGAAAGACUCUACGUAAUAACGGCGAGACAUUUCUUAAAUUUCCUCCCAUCCAAUAGAGAGAAAAAAGAAGGGAUUAAAGAAUAGAGGAAGUUAUAAACAUGAACUCAAACUGUAAUAAUAUGUCUAUA